rnacentral:misc_RNA from 1 species
GCAAACUUGGUCAUUUAGAGGAAGUAAAAGUCGUAACAAGGUCUCCGUUGGUGAACCAGCGGAGGGAUCAUUACCGAGUUUUUUUACAACUCCCCAACCCUUUGUGAAUCAAUACCAGUAUGUUGCUUCGGCGGGAACGCCCCGGCGCCCUCAGCGGCGGCCGGGCCAAGGCGCCCGCCGGGGGACCACCAAACUCUAAAGAUUUUUGCUUUCAGGCGUCUUCUGAGUGUAAAACAAUAAAAAAUUGAAUUAAAACUUUCAACAACGGAUCUCUUGGUUCUGGCAUCGAUGAAGAACGCAGC